rnacentral:lncRNA from 1 species
CAUAAUGCAGCUGUUCGAUAUCUUUUUCUGUCUGAUCGUAUUCUCAACAUUACGUACCUUUUAAUACGACAUUUCCGGUUGAAAGUAACCUGCUCCUCAACUGUCUUGUUUUGCUUUUGGCCAACCAAUUCACUUCUUUGAAAGCUGUACCUAACACACGUAUCAAAAUUUAACUGCAAAUUAAAGUUCAAUAAGUCGUAUUUUUAUAAUCAAUUCUAAAUUUAACGAUGAUUAAUUUAAAUUAAAUAAAAAAGUGAAUAAUUAAUUUAAAUUGUAGAAAAAAAGAAUUAUGGAGGAUGACUUCUCCACUCCUAUUUCAUAUUUUCUUCAUCGAUUUUUCUUUUACUAUCCUAAACUAUUAUAUGCUUAAAGUAAUACCUCACAGUAAACGCUAGAGGGUAAUUUGCUUUAUUUGUAUCGAAGAAUCUUCUAAAGAAGUAAAAAUAGCUCCGAAAAGUCGCUGAAUGAACAGUGCACGCAUAAGCAAUAGUUGGUCUUUAAAACAGUACUUCACACGCGUUAAUGUUCUAUGGAUGCUGCUAAAUGAACAGUGUCGUACAUAUUAUCAAAUGAACACAUUAUCAUUAAGAGUAACCGUUAUCUACUUAUCUUUCAUAUUUUGCGGGCAUCGCCUCAAUCUACUGAUACUCAGUGUUUGUUAAUCUAUGUUACUAGUUCAACUGAAGCUCAUUGUCAGCAGUGUCGGCAUGACGUUCUCUUCUUUUAUCACCGUACACCUAAACCACGCAUCUUUCAUUUCAGUCAUUGAAACUCGCUGGCUUUUGAGUUCGCAUUAUCCUUUACUUUCUCUUUUUGCGAGGAUUAGACCUUAAACACUAAUUAAGAUUUUUUUUUUAUUUAGUAUUUAUUUUAAGAAAACUGGAGUCUCAUUAUCGUAAAAGUUAAUUACAAUCCUAUCCAAACUUGAUCCCGGGGUUUUUAAUGCAAGUUCCGCCAUGUGAUUUUGGUACAUAAUUCACUUCAAAAAGAUUCUUAAAAACUCCAAACUUGAUCCCCAGGGCUUUUAAUGCAAGUUCCGCCACGUGAUGUUCGCACAUAAUUCACUUCAAAAAGAUUCUUCAAAACAAAUGCUUGACACGAUCAGUAUUCCACCCCACUUCUGCUAACGCUGUUGUUAAUAAGAUGCACCGUAUCCAUGGCAUCGGGUUCAACAAUUGCAGGAAUUAAUCCUGUUCCAAUGGCUAGUCACACCUUUUCAGAAUUGCAACAGAAAUGAAUCUUGCGAACGGAAGCAGCCGUGUUUCACCUUUUUCAUUCUUCAUGAGAACGCCAAUACACGAGACGGCCGAGAUAAAAAUUUAACAUUAAAAGCUCGUAGAUACCACAAUCUAGAACCAGACCUCUCCUGAGUCAUUCUUGGCUCUUCCAUCAAGCCACAUCCGAAUAUCCAUUUCCCAAAUUCAAAAUUCAUCCUUUGAAGUUUCCAUCUAAUUCAUCCUUUGUGUCCGUAGUGGGUGAGCAGCUGGAGAACUCUUGAUAUCCAUGAUACAGCCAAAAGAAGUUCCCGACUUUCUUAACAUUCUGGCAAUAGUCACAUUGAAAGCAGACGGCUUGAAAUGAUAUUCCUUUGGAUCGAGAAAUGUUGUAAGGCCCGUUCGAAACUACAAGGGCAUAUAUUGAGUCAUGCUUUCUUAUCAGAGAAUCUCAAAGGAUCAAAUGCCAAAUGUCAUGCCCUAUUUAUAGGGAGGCUCGCCAAGCUUUAGGGUUCUAGAGAAUUCUACCAACUUGCCUAAAUAUCUAGAUAUUUACAUGUACUAGAAGUAUGUAGAGAAUUCUACAUAUGUACAAGCUUGAAUUGUGCUAGAUUUAGCUAGAAAGCCUUGAGUGCGUCCGUCUUCACGACUGCGGGAUGGCUCCGGUGGAACAUACACACCAACAACACCCCCUUCUGUUGGGUUUGGAGGGUUGGCCAUUGCAGUGCGCAAACAGACUGGCCGUUUAUUUUCGCACUCAUGUACAUGAGCCCCUUCUUGGUGAAUGCGGGCCGUUGGCGAUUGAGUGCGCCAAGACGUUGGAGAGAACCCAUGUUAGCUCGUCUCUACGUUGUCCGUCAUGAUCGUGAAGUGUGAGCCAAGUAAGUAAUGUCGCCAAAUUCACAAGCAAUGGAUGAUGGCUGGCAAAAAUCAAACCACUCUAUGCACAGUGCCUGCAGCAUGUUUAUCAACAAUAAAGUAAGCGAAAACAGAGAUCUAAGGAGCAGCAUUUAGUAGCAGCUAAUAAUCACUUAACCAUACCAUAAAAGUAAAUCAACACCAAAAAGUUCCAAGAACAAUCCUCCAUCGCCGCAAGAAAAGCCUAGAUAAUUGCAAUUCAUUAUUCACAGAGACAUGCAUAGAUGAGUGAAACAAGAAAAAAGACUAGACAACCGGUGAGCAAAUGCUUAUCCCAAACAUAUAAAAAAUAAUGAAUUACUGCAAGAGAAGUUAAGAAACUAUUAUUCUUAUUUAGUAAUGGUAUAGGAUGCAUAGAUGAGUGAAACAAGGAAAAAGACUAGACAACCUAUAAUAAAUUACUGCAAGACAAGUUUGGAAACUAUAAUUGUUAUUCAGCAAUGGCAUAGGAUACAUAGACGACUAAAACAAGGAAAAAGACUAGACAACCUGUGAGCCCAAACAUUCCAAAAACCUCCAAAAACAAGUCAUCAACAUCAGCACUCUGUUCACAUGGUCGGAAUAACCAACAAUGACGGAGCACCAGAAUCAGUGCAACCACAGAAUGCAGGAGGAGUUGACGGGUCUAACUCAACUAAGCAGAAAAUAAUAAAUUAGCAGUAGAAGCUCAACAGCAUAGCAUUCCAUAAUUUUACCACAUGGAAAAUGCUAAUUGCAUAUACGAUAACAUAUCCCUUCACUGCAUAAUUUCAGCAAACUUAUAAAUUUGAGACCACCCCAGACAGACAAAAGAACAAAGUUACAAGCUUAAAAAACUGGAAAACAAGAAUCUGAGAAACAAGGCAACCACUUAUCGAAUUGGGAAAAGAAGCAAACCAGGCGGUAAUCCUCACAGAAGUCAAGACUCUUUCUGUACCACAAGUUCGCAAAAUGAAAAGAUCAGACUAAGAUUGAGCCUAAAAGGUAUUGACAGAAGCAAGAAACUUAAGCAUGCUCAGGGGUUUUUUGAUGAGCUUUUGGGGUUUUUUGAUGAGCUUUUGUCCUUUAACCAUUUUUCAGAUAUUCCACAAAUCAAAAAUGAAAGAAACAAGCCAACCACUCAUCGAAUUGGGAAAGAAGCAAACCAGGCGGUAAUCCUCACAGAAGUCAAGACUCUUUCUGUACCACAAGUUCGCAAAAUGAAAAGAUCAGACUAAGAUUGAGCCUAAAAGGUAUUGACAGAAGCAAGAAACUUAAGCAUGCUCAAGGGUUUUUUGAUAAGCUUUUGUCCUUUAACCAUUUUUCAGAUAUUCCACAAAUCAAAAAUGAAAGAAACAAGCCAACCACUCAUCGAAUUGGGAAAGAAGCAAACCAGGCGGUAAUCCUCACAGAAGUCAAGACUCUUUUUCUGCAGUACAAGUUUGCAAAAUGAAAAGAUCAGACUAAGAUUGAGCCUAAAAGGUAUUGAAUAAAGGACAAAAGCUCAUCAAAGACCCCCUGACCGUGCAUAUUUCAGAUAUUCCACAAUAUUCCACAAAUCAUAAAUGAAAGACCAAGUUACCAAAUGUAUUUCGUGCAUUCAGCCAACGAAAGUAAUAAACUGGGUAAAGAACAAAAAUGGGUUUAGUAGCACAGUCACAAUAAUCCACAAAAACAUAGAAAUGCUGUCCCCACAGCAUAGCUUUCGGAGUAGAAAAGCAAAUUAGAAUUUGAACUUUUAGGACCAUGGGCACAAGUAGGAGCAAGAAAUAAUAAAAAAGAACUAAAAAGCUCAAUAUACACUAGAGUAACAUGUUCCAAAAAUCCUUUCAAAACACAGGAACAUCUCUAAAUCUGCGGCACUAAAAAUGGGAGAGAAAGAAAUGGACUAGCAUACUAUCUGAACUUUAAGUGCUUGGGUAGCAUAGGUAGAAAUGAGAAGUCAGUUAAGAGAUGAAAACACGCAAAUCCCUCAAAAUAAAUAGCCUUCACAUUCCUCAAAAAUUUGAAACACACUGCCACCACUGCAACAAAAUUUGGCAAAACAAAUAACAAAAUUAGAAACACGCUGCCAUCACUGCAACCAAAUUUGCAACAAAAUUAGAGACCCCCUGUUCAGCAGAGUCCCAGUUGUUACACAAAAGCAAGAAACCUCUCACUAUCACUGCAACAUAAAUUUGCACAAAUGAUUAACAAAUUACAAGUUGAUUUUAUGUGUCUAGACAGGUGGAAAGAGAAGUAAUAAACUAGAAUAUUAAAAAAAAAAAAAAGACUAACCAAAUUACAAGUUGAUUUUACGUGCCUAGACAGCCACAAAGAGGAGUAAUAAACUAGAAAGAAGAAUAGAAAAAAUGCAAUUAAAUGCCCGAGUGGUAGAAUGGUUGACACUCCUCAAAAACUAAGAAUAUUUCUCAAGCACAGCAACAAAAAAUUGCAAAAUAUGAAAAGACCAAACAUAAACAAAUUUCUAAAAAAACUCACCAGAAGCCAAGUAGCAAACUCCCAAUACUCCUCAAGAACUAGGAUCGUUUCUCUACAGCAGUAUAAAACUUUACAACAGGGACACGACCAACAUUCACACUGCUCUUGAAGGAUCAUUCCUCUACAGCAGUAUAAAACUUCACAAUAGGGAAAUGAUCAACAUAGACAGGUCUUGAAGGAUCAUUUCUCUACAGCAUUAAAAAAUUCACAACAGGGACAUGAUAUAGUGCUCUUGAAGAAUCUAUAAAAGUGAUUUAAGGAAAGGUCUAAAAUAACUCAUUAUAGACACCCUCCGGUUAAGCAGUUCCAAUACUCGUCAAAAACUAACCAUUUCUCUUGCACUGCAACAUAAAAAAUAUUGCCCCAAAGCAUUCAUAAUAGAAGAGAUAAACUAAUCGUUCCCAAAUAGCAGAGUCCAGAUGUUCCUCAAAAAUUAUGAAUAUUCCAACAUCACUGCAACAAAAAUUUGCAAAAAUGAAAAACCAAACACAUAACCUCAACUUUAUAGUAUUCAGAAAGCCACAUAUGGAAGCCAAACCCCAAAAAACCUCACAAACUCGGAACAUUUGCUAUCACUCAAACAUGAGAAAAUGAAAAACCAUAUUACCAUUACAAGCUUUAUAUAUUUAGACACAUUAAAUAUAAAUUAAGGAAAAGAAUAGGAACUUAUUAGGCAGCCCAGAGCAGCAGAGUCCCGGUAUUCCGCCAAAACAUGGAAAUUCUCCAAACCACUGCAACACAAAUUUGCAAAAGUGGCAGGACAUUGUAAUGAAACUCAAGUAACCAGACAACUAGAAAUAAAGAUAACAGGAAACAACAAAAAUACUCAUGAGUAACCCGCGGGGCAAUCUCCCAGAAUUACUGAGAGAACGCCAAAACUUCCCCUAAAACUGCAGCACAAAAUAUGUAAGAAUAAAAAGCUGUAAAAAAUAGAAGUUCAAAUAUUCAAAAAGGUGCAGAUAGAAGGGAGAUAAUACAAGAAAUAAUCUAGCGCGGUUAGAUAACCCCAAUACACAUUUUGCCAUCACUGCUCCAGAGAUAUGCAAAAAAAUGGAAGACAUUAAACUGAAUUUCAAGGAUUCAGUUAUGAAAGGGAAACAAAAGCAUGCUGGAAAACCCCCCUAAAAAAAGAAAUAUUGUCCCACACUCCUCGAUAACUCUGACCUUAUCUAUCACUGCAUGAUAAAAAUUCUAAAAAUGACACAAACGAAAUACUAUGAAAAGCUUGGGUUAAAAACUCACUAUAGACACUCCCUGAGUUGCACAAGUCCUUAUAUUGAACUACUCAAAACAUCUCCUCUCACACUGCAAAAGUUUGCAAAAAUGAAAGAGAGCUUAAGCAUUCAGAUAAGACAAAACAUGAGUUGCACAAGUCCUUAUAAGAACUACUCAAAACAUCUCCUCACACGGCAAAAAAAGUUUGCAAAAAUGAAAGAGAGCUUAACCAUUCAAAUAAGACAAAAUAUUACUCACAAACAGUCUUAAGCAUUCAAAUAAGACAAAAUAUUACUCACAUACAGUCUGCUCUAAAGCAUUCAUAGAUAGAAGAAAAAAACUAAAGAGAGGUUUUGGGGCAGGGGGAGCUCAUUACAGAGACCCCAUGUAGCAAAGUCCAGAUACUCCACAUAAACUACGAACUUUCCAACAUCACUGCAACAAAAAUUUGCAGAAAUGAAAAACCAAAACAUAACCUCAACAUUAUAGUAUUCACAAAGAGAGCCAAAAGCAAAGAGAGAGAAUGGAAGUGUCAAUAGAAACCCCCUGAAUAGGAAGAUGCCCCAAAAAUAUAAAAAUAAUCCUGGAACAGUUUGCUCUCAUUCGAACAUGCAAAAGUGAAAAACCAAAUCACAAACGUUAUAUAUUUAGACACAACCCAACGCAGAAACAAUAAAUUAGGGAAAAGAAUAAGGAACUUAUCAGACACCCCCCAGAGUAGCAUAGUCACAGUAUUCCACAAAAACUAAGCUUUUCCAAAUCACUGUAACAUAAAUUGCAAAAGUAGCAGGAUAUUAUAAUGGAACAUAAGUAAUCAGUCAGCUAGACAUAAAAAAAAAAUAAUAAUAAUAAUAAAGUGUAGCACUAAAAAUACUCAUGAGCAGCCCCCAUAGCAAUGUCCAGAAUUACUCAGAAAACACGAAAACUUUGCUAAAGCUGCAGCACAAAAUAUGCAAAAAUAAAAAGCUGAAAAAAAAAAAUAAAAGCUUAAAUAUUAAAAUAGGUGCAGAUAGAAGGGAGAUAACAGGAGAAAGAAUGUAAGUCAUCACAACACGGUGAGUAACACUGUUAGUUGGCCCCAAUACUCGAUCAUGUUUUGCCACCACUGCUCCAGAGAUUUGCAAAAAAUAAAAGGCAUAAUUAUAAACUGAAUGUUAAGGAUUCAGUUAAGCAGAUGUAGUAGAAACAAACUAAGAAAGGGACUAGCAUCAAAAAAUAAAAGCUUAAAUAUUAAAAUAGGUGCAGAUAGAAGGGAGAUAACAGGAGAAAGAAUGUAAGUCAUCACAACACGGUGAGUAACACUGUUAGUUGGCCCCAAUACUCGAUCAUGUUUUGCCACCACUGCUCCAGAGAUUUGCAAAAAAUGAAAGGCAUAAUUAUAAACUGAAUGUUAAGGAUUCAGUUAAGCAGAUGUAGUAGAAACAAACUAAGAAAGGGACUAGCAUCAAAAACCCCCUAAAUAAAAUAGUCCCACACUCCCGAGAGCUCUUUCUCUAACACUGCAUUUUAAAGAUGUUAAAAAAUGACACAAUUACAAGGGAAAUACUAAGAAGAAUUCUGGUGAAAAAUUCACUAUCGACACUCCCUGAGAUGCACAAGUCCUAAUGUUCAACAACUCAAAACAUCUCCUCACCCUGCAACAAAAACUUGUAGAAACGAAAAGAGCUUAAGCAUUUAGGUAGACAAAAUAUUACUAACAUACAAAAAGAAUUAAGCAUUCAGGUAAACAACAUAUUAAUAUUACUAACAUACAAAAAGAAUUCAAAGAUAAAAGGGAAAAACUAAAGAGAGGUUGGGGAGUAAAAGGAGCAUUACAGGGACCCCAAAUAGCAGUGUCCAGACACCCCACAUAAACCAUGAACAUUCCAACAUCACUGCAACAAAAAUUUUGAAAAAUGAAAAACCAAAACAUAACUGCAACUUUAUAGUAUCCAGAUAAAAAGCUGAAAACAAAGAGAAAGAAUGGAAGUGUCAAUAGAAACACCCUUAGAAGAAGACGCCCCAAAAAUAUCAAAAUAAACCUGGAACAGUCUGCUAUCACUAAAACAUGCAAAAAUGAAAAAAAUCACAUUAUAUACCAUAUAUAUUUAGACAAAACCUGACACAGAAACAACAAAUUAGGGAAAAGAAUAAGGAACUUAUCAGACACCCGAGAGUAGCAUUGUCCUAGUAUUCCACAAAAGCUUAGAAAUUCUCCAACUCACUGUAACAUAAAAUUGCAAAAGUGGCAGGAUAUUGUAAUGAAACGUAAACAAUCAGAUGGCCAGAAAUUAACAAGGAGUACGACUAAAAAUACUCAUGAGCAACCCGUAUAGCAAUGUCCCAGAAUUUAGAAGACACCAAGACUUCCUCUAAAACUGCAGCCCAAAAAAUAUGCAAAAAUAAACAGCUGAAAUAAAAGAAAAACUUAGAUAUUUAAACAGGUGCACAUGGGAGGAGGUAAUAGAAGAAAGAAUGUAAAUCAUCAAAACCUCCGGCGUAGCACGGUUAGCUAGCCCCAAUACUUGAUAACAUUUUGACAUCAUUGCUCCAGAGAUUUGCAAAAAAUAGAAGACAUAAUUAUAAACUCAGUUUUAAGGAUUCAGUUAUGUAGAUGUAGUAGAAAUGAACUAAGAAAGGGAAAGGAGAGCACCCUAGAAAACCCCCCUGAAUAAAUUAGUCCCACACUUCUCCAGAGAGCUGACCUUCUCUACCACUGCAUUAUAAAAAUUUUAAAAAUGACACAACUACAAGGGAAACACUAUGAAAAGCUCAGGUUAAAAACUCACUGUAGACACUCCCUGAGUUGCACAAGUCCUAAUACUGAACAACUCAAAACAUCUCCUCGCACUGCAACAAAAGUUUGCAAAAAUGAAAGAAGCUUAAGCAUUCAGAUAAGACAAAAUAUUACUAACAUACUGAAAGCAUUCAUAGACAGAAUAGGAAAACUAAAGAGAGGUUUUGUUUUGGGGAAGGGGGGACCCAUUACAGAGAUGCCAAACAGCGAAGUCCAGAUACUCCAUACAAACUAAUGAACAUUCCAGCACCACUGCAACAAAAAUUUGUGAAAAUGAAAAACCAAAACAUAAACUCAACUUUUUGUAUUCAGACAGAGAGCCAACAACAAAGAGAAAUAGAAACCUCCUGAGUAGAAGAAGCCCCAAAAAAUAUCAAAAUAAACUAGGAACAGUUUGCAAUCACUCAAAUCAUGCGAACAUGAAAAAAACCUUGUAUAUUUAGACACAACCUGACACAAAAACAACAAAUUAGGGAAAAGAAUGAGGAGCUCACUAGACACCCCAGAGUAGCAUACUCCCAGUAUUCAGAUAACACAAAACAUUACCAACAUACACAGAGCAUUCAUAGACAGAAGAGAAAAACUACAGAGGUGUUGCAGGGGGCAAAAACGCAUUUACAGAGACCCAAAUAGCAAAAUCCGCAUACUCCACAUAACUCAUUAGAGAGACCCCAAAUAGCAAAGUCCGGAUAUUCCACAUCUACGAACGUUCCAACAUCACUGCAACAAAAAUUUGCAAAAAAGAAAAACCAAAACAUAACCUCAACUUUAUAGUAUUAAGAUAAAAAGCCAAAAACAAAAAGAAAGAAUGGAAGUGACAAUAGAAACCCCCGAGUAGAAGACGCCCCAAAAAAAUCAAAAUGGAUUCGGAACAUUUUGCUGUCAUGAAAAAACCAAAUUAUAAACCUUAUAUAUUUAGACACAUCCUGACACAGAAACAAUAAAUUAGGGAAAAGAAUAAGGAACUUAUCAGACACCCCCGGGGUAGCAUAAUACCAGUAUUCCACAAAAUCUUGGCCCGAGUAGCAUAGUCCCAGCAUUCCACAAAAACUAGGAAAUUCUCCAAAUCACUGCAACAUAAAUUUGCAAAAGUAGCAGGACAUUGUAAUGAAACGUAAGUGAUCAAACAGUUGGAAAUAAAAGAAAUUAACAAGGAGUAGGACUAAAAAUACUUGUGAGCAACCCCCAUAGCAAUGUUCUAGAAUUAUCAGAAGGAAGGAAAUAAGAGAGAGAAUGCAAGUCAUCACCACCCCGUGUGUGGCACAGUUAGCUAGCCCCAAUAAUCGAUAACAUUAUGCCAUCACUGCUCCAGAGAUUUACAAAAAAUAGAAGAUAAAAUCAUAAACUAAGAAUUCAGUCAUGUAGAUGUAGUGGAAAUAAACUAAGAAAGGGAAAGCAGAGCACGAUAGAAAACCCCCUGAAUUAAAUAGUCCCACACUCCUCGAGAGAGCUGACCUUCUCUAACACUGCAUUAUAAAAAUUUUUAAAAUGACAAAACUACAAGGGAAAUACAAUUGACACUCCCUGAGCUGCACAAGUCCUAACAUUGAACAACUCAAAGCAUCUCCUCACACUGCAACAAAAGUUUGCACAAAUGAAAGAGAGCUUAAGCAUUCAUAUAAGACAAAAUAUUACUAACAUACAGAAAGCAUUCAGAGAUAGAAGGGAAAAACUAAAGAGAGGCCCGCGGGGGGGAAGGGGAGAAGAGUAUUACAGAGACCCCUAAUAGCAAAGUCCGGAUACUCCAUAUAAACUACUAGCUUUCCAACAUCACUGCAACAAAAAUUUGCAGAAAUGAAAAACCAAAACAUAACCUCAACAUUAUAGUAUUCAGAUAGAAAGCCAAAAACAAAGAGAGAGAAUGGAAGUGUCAAUAGAAACCCCCCCGAAUAGGAGAUGCCCCAAAAAUAAAAAAACAAUCCCGGAACGGUUUGCUCUCAUUCGACCAUGCAAAAGUGAAAAACCAAGUUACAAAUGUUAUAUUUAGACACAACCUGAUGCAGAAACAAUAAAUUAGGAAAAAGAGUAAGGAACAUAUCAGACACCCCACGGUAACACAGUCCUGGUACUCCACAAAAACUUAGAAAUUCUCAAAUCACUGCAACAUAAAUUUGCAAAAGUGGCAGGAUAUUGCAAUGAAACGUAAGUAAUCAGAUAGCCAGAAAUAAAAGAAAUUAACAAUAAGUAGGACUAAAAAUAGUCAUGAGCAACCCACAUAGCAAUGUCCCAAAGUACUCAAAAGACACCUAAACUUCCUCUAAAACUGCAGCACAAAAUAUACAAAAAUAAACAGUUGAAAUAAAAUAAAAACUUAAAUAUUUAAACAGGUGCACAUAGAAGGGUGGUAAUAGGAAACAGAAUGUAAGUGAUCAAAGCCCGGUGUGUAGCGCGGUUAACCACCCCCCAUACUCGAUAAUAUUUUGCCAUCACUAAGCUCCACAGAUUUGAAAAAAAUAGAUGACAUAAUUAUAAACUGAAUUUUGAGGAUUCAGUUAUGUAGAUGUAGUAGAAAUGAAAUAAGAAAGGGAAAAAAGAGCACGCUAGAAGACCCCCUGAAUAAAAUAGUCCCACACUCCCCUAGAGUGCUGCUCACCUUCUCUAACACUGCAUUAUAAAAAUUUUUAAAAUGACAACUACAACGCAAUUUCUAUGAAAAGCUUGGGUUAAAAACUCACUAUAGACACUCCCUGAGUUGCACAAAUCCUAAUAUUUGUUGCACAGUCUCCUCGCUGCAACAAAAGUUUGCAAAAAUGCAAGAGACCUUAGGCAAUCAGAUAAGACAAAUAUUAACUAACAUACUGAAAGCAUUCAUAGAUAGAAUAGAAAACCAAAGAGAGGUUGGUGAAAAAAACUCAUUACAGAGACCCAAAUUGCAAGGUCCACAUAUUCCACAUAUCUACCAACGUUCCAACAUCACUGCAACAAAAAUUUGCAAAAAUGAAAAACCAAAAUAUAACCUCAACUUUAUAGUAUCCAGAUAAAGUAAAAAACAAAGAGAAUAAAUGGAAGUGUCAAUAGAAACCCCGAGUAAAAGACGCCCCAAAAAUAUCAAAAUAAAUUCGGAACAUUUUGCUAUCACUCGAAACAUGCAAACAUGAAAAAAUCAAAUUAUAAACCUUAUAUCAGACACAACCUGACACAGAAACAAUAAAUUAGGGAAAAGAAUAAGGAACAUAUCAGACACGCCAGUACUCCACCAAAACAUAGCCCCAGAGUAGCAUAGUCCUAGCAUUCCACAAAAGCAUAGAAAUUCUCCAAUCGCUGCAACAUAAAGUUUCAAAAGUAGGGGACAUUGUAAUGAAACAUUAGCGAUCAGACAGCUAGAAAUAAAAGUAAUUAACAAGGAGUAGGACCGAAAAUACUCAUGAGCAACCCGCAUUGCAAUGUCCAAGAAUUAUCUGAAAGAAGGUACUAAGAGAAAGAAUGCAAGUCAAAAUAUUACUAACAUACGAAAAGAAUUCAAAGAUAGAAGGGAAAAACUAAAGAGACGUUGGGGGAGAAAAAAAAGCAUUACAGAGACCCAAAGUAACGAAGUCCGGAUACUCCACAUAAACUAUGAACAUUCCAACAUCACUGCAACAAAAAUUAGCAACAAUGAAAAACCAAAACAUAACCUCAACUUUAUAGCAUUCAGAUAGAAAGCCAAAAACAGGGAGAAAGAAUGGAAGUGUCAAUAGAAACACCCGGAGUAGAAGAUGCCCCAAAAAUAUCAAAAUAAACCUGGAACAGUUUGCUAUCACUCGAACAUGCAAAAAUGAAAUAACCAAAACAAAACCUGGCACAGAGAAUAAAUUAGGGAAAAGAAUAAGGAACUUAUCAGACACCCCAGAGUAGCAUAGUCCUAGUAUUCCACAAAAACUUAGAAAUUCUCCAAAUCACUGUAACAUGUUACAGAAGUGGCUGGACAUUGAAAUGAAACGUAAGUAAUCAGACAGACAGAAAUAAAAGAAAUUAACGAGUAGAACUAAAAAUACUCAUGUGCAACCCGCAUAGCAAUGUCCCAGAAUUACUUAGAAGACACCGAAACUUCCUCUAAAACUGCAGCACAAAAUAUGCAAAAAUGAACGGCUGAAAUAAAAUAAGAACUUAAAUAUUCAAAUAGGUGCACAUAGAAGGAAGGUAAUAGGAGAAAGAAUGUAAGUCAUCACAACCCCAUGUGCAGCGCGGUAAGCUAGCCCCCAUACCCGAUAAUAUUUUGCCAUCACUGAGCUCCACAAAUUUGAGAAAAAUAGAAGACACAAUUAUAAACUGAAUUUUAAGGAUUCAUUUAUGUAGAUGUAGUAGAAAUGAAAUAAGAAAGGGAAAGGAGAGCACGCAAGAAAAACCGCCUUAAUAAAAUAGGUCCACAUUCCUCCAGAGAGCUGACCAGCACGCUAGAAAAACCCCCUGAAUAAAAUAGGUCCACAUUCCUACAGAGAGCUGACCUUCUCUAGUUCCAGAAAAAUAGAGGACAUAAUUAUAAACUGAAUUUUAAGGAUUCAUUUAUGUAGAUGUAGUAGAAAUGAAAUAACAAAGGGAAAGUAGAGCACACUAAAACCCCCAGAAUAAAAUGGUUCCAGACUCCUCCAGAGAGCUGACCUUAUCUACACCGCAAUAUAAAAAUUUUUAAAAUGAAACGGGAAUUUCCAUGAAAAGCUCGUGUUAAAACUCACUAUUGAGUUGCACAAGUCCUAAUAUUGACAACUCAAAACAGCUCCUCACACUGCAACAAAAGUUUGCAAAAAUGAAAGAGACCUUAAGCAUUCAGAUAAGACAAAAUAUUACUGACAGACAGAAAGCGUUCAUACAUAGAACAGAAAAACUAAAGAGAGGUUUUGGGGGGAAGGUGGGGAAUCAUUACAGAGAACCCAAAUAGCAAAGUCUGGAUACUCCACCUAAACUACGAACAUUCCAACGUCACUGCAACAAAAAUUUACAAAAAGGAGAAACCAAAACAUAACCUCAACUUUAUAGUAUUAAGAUAGAAAGCAGAAAACAAAGAGAAAGAAUGUAAGUGUCAAUAGAAACCCCCGGAGUAGAAGACACCCCAAAAAUAUCAAAAUGAAUUCGGAACAUUUUGCUGUCACUCGAACAUGCGAACAUGAAAAAACCAAAUUAGAAACCUCAUAUAUUUAGACACAACCUGACACAGAAAAAAUAAAUUAGGGAAAAGAAUAAGGAACUUAUCAGACACCACCAGGGUAGCACAGUCCCAGUAUUCCACUAAAACUUAGAAAUUCUCCAAAUCACUGUAACAUAAAUUUGCAACAGAGGCAGAACACUGUAAUGAAAUGUAAGUAAUCAGACAGUAAUCAGACAGCUAGAAAUAAAAGAACUAACAAGGAGUAGGAUACUCAUGAACAACCCGCAUAGCAAUGUCCUAGAAUUACUCAGAACACACCCAACACUUUCACUAAAACUGGUAGCACAAAAUAUGCAAAAAUGAAAAGCUGAAAAAAAUGAAAACUUAAAUAUUCAAGCAGCAAGAAAAAGAAUGCAAGUCAUCAAAACCCCAUGAGUAGCGCUGUUAGUUAGCCCCAAUACUCGAAAACGUUUUGCCAUCGCUGUGCCAGAGAUUAAAAAAAAAAUGAAAGACAUAAUUAUAAACUGGAUUUCAAGGAUUCAGUUAAGCAGAUGCUGUAGAAAUAAUCUAAGACAAAGGAUAGCAUGCUAGAAAACCCCCUAAAUAAAGUAGUCCACUCCUCGGGAGCUUUGACCUUCUCUAACACUGCAUUAAAAAUUUUAAAAUUGACAAAAUUACAAGGGAAAUACCAAGAAAAGCUCCCCACAUUAGCCUAAUAUUCAAUGACUCAUCUUACACUGCAACAAAAAUUUGUGGAAAUACAAAAAUUUGUAGAAAUGAAAGACAGCUUAAGCAUUCAGUCAGAUAAAAUAUUAGUAACAUACAGACUGGUCUAAAGCAUUCAUAGAUAGAAGAGAUAAACUAAAGAGAGGUAAGGGGGAAAAACACAUUACAGAGGCCCCAAAUAGCAGAGUCCGGAUACUCCACAAAAACUACGAACAUUCCAACAUCACUGCAACAAAAAUUUGCAAAAUUGAAAAACCAAAACGCAACCUCAGCUUCAUUUCGGAGGGACAUAGAUGGAAGCCGAAAACAAAGAAAAAGAAUGGAAGUGUCCUCAGGAAGCCCGAGUAAAGAAUGCCACAAAAGUACCACAUAAACUCGGAACAUGUUGCUAUCACUCAAACAUGCGAAAAUGAAAACCAAAUUACAAACCUUAUAUAUUUAGACACAACCUGACACAAACAAUAAAUUAGGGAAAUGAAAACAUAUCAAAUACCACAGAGUAGAAUAGUCCCACUAUUCCGCAAGAACGUAGAAAUUCUCCAAAUCACUGCAACAUAAAUUUGCAAAAGUGGCAGGACAUUGUAAUGGAACUUAAAUAAUCAAGCAGCUAGAAAUAAAGAAUACUCAUAAGUAAUGUCCUAUAAGUCAUCAAAACCUUGUAUGUAAUGCGGAUAGCUAGCCUGAAUACUUGAUAACAUUUUGCCAUCACUGACUGCUGCACAGAUUUGGUAAAAAUGGAAGACAUAAUUAUAAACUGAAUUUUAAGGAUUCAUUUAAGUAGAUGUAGUAAAAAUAAACUAAGGAAGGAAAAAGGAAAGCAAGCUAGAAAACCUCCCCCAAAAAUAAAAUAGUCCCACACUCCUUGAGAGCUCCGACCUUCUCUCUAACACUGCAUUAUUAAAAUUGACACAAGGGAAAUAAUAUGAAAAGCCCAGGUGAAAAACCCACUGUAGACACUCCCUGAGUUGCACAAGUCCUCAUAUUGAACAACUCAAAACAUCUGCCCACACAGCACCAAAAAGUUUUUUGUUGCAAAAAUGAAAGAGCCUAAGCAUUCAGAUAAACAAAAUAUUACUAACAUACCAGUCUGCGCUAAAGCAUCCACAGAUAGAAGAGAUAAACUAGAGAUGUGCUUUUGAAGGGGGGGGGGGGGGGGAGUUGGGGGACUGAUUACAGAGACCCCAAAUAGCAGAGUCCACAUACAUUAACAGUAUUCAGAUUAAAAGCCAAAAACAAAAAGAGAGAAAGGAAGUGUCAAUAGAAACCCCGAGUAGAGGAUACCCCAAAACACCACAUAAACUUGGAACAUUUUGCUGUCAAAACCAAAUUAUAAACUUUAAAUAACACAACCUAACACAAAAACAAUAAUUUAGGGAGAAGAAUAAGGAACUUAUUAGACACCCAGACUAGUAGUAUCCCAGUAUUCCGCAAAAACAUUGACAAUCUCCAAAUCACUGCAACAUAAAUCUGCAAAAGUUGCAGGACAUUGUAAUGAAACGAAAGUAAUUCGACAGCAAGAAAUAAAAGAAUUAACAAAAAGCAGCAUGAAAAUACUCAUUAGCGACCUGCAUAGCAAUGUCCAGAACUACUGAGAAAACACCAAAACUUCCUCCAAGACUACAGCACAAAAUAUGCAGAAAUAAAAAGCUGAAAUAAAAUAAAAACUUAAAUAUUCAAAUAGAUGCAGAAGAAAAGAGGUAAUAGGAGAAAGAAUGUUAGUAAUCAAAACCCCGUGAGAAGCGCAGUUAGUGAGCCCCAAUACUCGAUAAUAGAUGUAGUAGAAAUAAUUAUAAACUGAAUUUUAAGGAUUCAAUCAAGCAAAUGUAGUAGAAAUAAACAAAGAAAGGGAAAGGAGAGCACGCCCCCCAAUCAAAACAGUCCCACACUCCUUGAGAGCUCUGACCUUCCCUAACACUGCAUUAUAAAAAAUUUUAAAAUUACACAAUUACAAGGAAAACACUAUGAAAAGUUCGGGUAAAACUGCGACAGAAGUUUACAAAAAUGAAAGAGAGCUCAAGCAUUCAGAUAGUCAAAGAAGCCAGAAACAAAAAUAAAAAUAAAAAUGGAAGAAUAAUCAGAGAACCCAACUCGUGAAUAAGCACUGAUUUUUCUCAAAAAACCUGGAAGAUUUUACCAUCACUCCAACAUAAAUUUGAACAAUCAGAAGACCAAAUUAGAAAUUGAACUAUGUAUUUAGACAGCAUAAGCAUAAAUAAUAAACUUGAAACAACAAAAAACUGUAAAGACACUCCCGUGCGGCAUAGUCCCAGUACACCUCACAAGCAGAAAUGACAUCACUGCAACAAAACUUUGCAAGUGAAGGCCAAUUUUAAUUUGGGAAUUUAGAUUGGUAAAAAUAGAAGAAAAAGAAUAGGACAAAAGACUAGAGCAACCUCAUUAGAAAAAAGAGGGUAGAAAAGAAAGAAAUACAACUUCUUUAAUAACCACAGAUAUAAGCAAGAAACUAAGAGACAAACACUCAUCAGACAGCCCCAAAUAUUGAGUAUGGAUAGCCACAAUAUUCCUCAAAAAUUCAUGCCAUAUUGCCAUCACUGCAACAAAAUUUGAAAAAAUGAAAGAAAAGAUUAUAUCUUGAAUUCACUCAAGACAUCUAGGGUAAAACGGACCACUAACCUUUCACAGCAACAAAGAAUUAAAAAAGUCAAAACUGCUAACAGAUCUUAAACAUAGUAGACCCCUCAUCUUUCACUGCAACAAAGAAUUAAAGAAGUAAAAAAAUACAACCGAUCUUAGGCAUAUUCACAAAGGAAAUGAAAACAAAGAGAAGAUCGAAAAACUCAUAACAACCCCACCCAAGUGGCAAAGUCCCAAUAUUCCUCAUAAACACCAAUUAAUUCACAUCAAAGCAACAAAAUUUAUAAACUGAGAGGUAUAACGGGAUAAAUAAAAGCCAAUAGUUUAAUCACUCCCUGAAUAGGCAGCCCAAUAUUCCUUAUAAACUUGGAACGUUUGAAUCUCAACAUCAAUGCAACCUAAAUGGCAAGAAACAAACAUGAAAAUGCAAAUUGAACUCAUGCACUUUUAGAAAACCAGACUCAAGAGCAGCAAACAGUGAGGAAGAAUCCAAAAUCUCAUUUACCACCCCUGCCCUGCACAUAGAGCAGAUUAUAAUUUGUAAAUUUGUAGUUUCGGUAUUCAGGUAAGCAGAAAUAGAAGCAAUGAUAAACAACAAAAAGAACUGAAAUACUCAAUAGACGCCUGCUGAGUAGCAGAGAAUUCCUAAAAAACUCCAUACGCCUCUCUGAAGAUGCAUCACAAAAAUUUGCAAAUAAAAGACUAAAUUACAAUCUGAAUUUAACAUUGCUUGGUGAGCAUAUAGACAGAAGGGAAAAACUGGCAGAAAGAAUUGGAGAGAUCAGACAACCACUGCAUAGUGUAUAGUCUGCCGCAAUCAAAACUUGAAACAGUUCACCAUCACUGCCUCAGAAAUUAAAAAAAAAAAAGAAGAUGUUACUAGACUUAACUUAAGGAUUCAUUUAAAAAAAAUACUGGAAAACACGCUAGAAAACCCGCUGAGGUAAAAUUGUCCAAAUACCCUACAAACAUUUGGAACAUUUUACCUACCGCUGCAAUGAAAAAUUGCAGAUUAUAAGACCAAAAUACAGCCAGAUCUUAAGGAUUCAAAUGUGGAAUUAAUAAACUAAGAAAAGAUCUAAUAGCUCGCUUGAUUUGCAGAUUCCAAUGCUCCUCAAAUACUUGGGACUAUUUCUCUAACACUGCAACAUAAAAAGUAACAAAAAUGACAACUCAUACAAGCUAUUCAGUAUUAACAGAAGUGAUCAACUAAGAAAAGGUUGGAAACCCCCAUUAUAAACACCCCAAGUAGCUGGGUCCCUAUGCUCCAAAACACGGCAUUUCUCUUACCACUGCAACAUAAAAUUUGCAAAAUCAUGCAAAUAAAUUACAAUAAACUCUUUUAAGUAUUGAUAAAGUUGAUAAACUCAAAAAUGACAUAAAUAAAAUAGAACUCGUUAUAGUCACCGCAGGCAGCAUCCCAACAUCCCAUAACAAUUGGGAACAUUUCUGCCUCACCGCAACCAAAAAUUUACACAACGCUACCGUACCAUGAUUUAACUGAACCAACAAAAUUGCAGGUUUCUCAGAGAAUCCAAAAUAUUGAUGAACAUAUCAAAUACUUGGUUAAUAGAUAAACAUGAAGCAAAAGAAACACAAAAAUAUUAAAUCACGCCCUCUUGUUUACUGCUUUGGUAAAUCAUCUUCCUGUUGAAUGUUCAUCGGUGCCCUCCACAAGAUUGAUAUUUUCGCAAGUUAUGGGAUGACUAACGUGGCACUACCUAAGACAAAUGGCAAGUUUGUACAAAGCAAUAUAUCUCACUUCGACAAAACCAAGAACUUGAGAUGAAACAAAUGCAGUCCAAGGAAUUGAUUAUUAUAUAUCAUUAAACAAAAAUGUUUACCCAAUCGCAAUCCAACAAACUCAUAGACAAUAAAUUUUCUUUAACCUCUGCGUCCAACAACAAACAUAAACACCAUUACAAAAAUCUGAUACAAAAAUAUAAAUACCAUUACAAAAGUGUGAUACAAAAAUAUAACAACAAUAAACAAUAAUUAACAAAAGGGACAAGCGCACGACCAUUCAUCCUGUAAGCCACAUGACUUGCCAAACUAGUCUUCAAGUGCCCAUAUUUCAAGACUGAAGAUGAGACAAUUGUUGAAUAAAGGAGUUACAAGAAAGAUCUGGAACAUGAGAUGUGUCCACAACAACAGAAACCAAAAGUAUACCACAAUUGCUCAAAAAAGAUGUCACAAGAAGUUCAAGACAUUGACAUGCAUCCACUCAAUUGUUGAAUAGAAGUCAAAAAAAUUCAAUACUGAAACAUAUUGCCAUGUCCACAGCAACAGAAACUGAAAAGUUGAGAAGCAGCAUCCAUCUACCAUUCUCUGCAAUCAAAUUGAAACAGAAACUGGGUAGAAGGACUAAAACCACAGGAGAGGGAAGCCCGCCGAAAAAAAAAAAAAGGGAGAAGGGGAAAACAAGUCCUGGAGAAAUAGCAGUUCCAAUAUUUGCCCGUCAACCCAGGUGCACUCCCAAUAGUAUAUAACCAAGCAAACCAUGUGGAGCACAAAACUGGCUCAUUAAAUAGAUCCACCAAAGAGAAAAUAGUGGAAAAUAAAUGCACAGGAAAAGCUCGCCAGCAUUAUGUUCCUUAAACUUCGGCACUGCUUCUAAAGAUACUAAAAAGUUCAAAACUCCAAAGUGUCUGAACAUAAUAAUUAAGUGACUCCCUCAUGCCCCCUUUCUGCUUCCUCCUCUAUUGAUUCCAUGACUGCUUGAUUCCAGCAGCCUCUCAAAAGUAAUCAACAACAAAUAAAAUCAGCUUUGUGUCUCCUAAUAAUCUUUACAAUCCCAUGGACAAUCUCAAUUGGCAGACUUCAACAAGAACUUGGGAAAAAUGAUUGACCAGACUACUAAAGGCAAAAUAUCUAAAAUAUUUACCAUUAGGAACCCCUUGAAAGCAAUAGUCAUAUACUGUUAUCAUCAUCUUAUAAUAAUGACUGUAUAUUAUUCAAAACAAUCAAUAUCUUUAUAUUAUCAGAUGAUUGGACUAUAACCCUUAGCCAUGAUUUCUAUCAAAGCGCCUCAAAAAUCCACAAUUAAGAAGUCAGAGAAAUCACCGAUCAAUACAAGAUAAUAUCACGAUCGGACCUCGGCAAAGAUUGGCACAAAUUCAGUAUUCUGUAACCAAGAAUUGAACAAGGAAUAAAACAAUUCAGCGCAAAUCAAGUAUCAUCCAAUACGAUACAUUGUCACCGAUAACUCAAAAACAAUCUUCACACUCGCAUGCAAUAAAUUAAUUACCAACAACCCUAAUAACCUGACAAUCCUCUUUAAUGAACAAAGAAGAGAUAGUUUAGCGCAAACCAAUAACACCUUCCUCCCAAACAGAACCAGAAACACCCCAAGGAGACCGAGAAAAUAAAAAAAUAUACAUAUAUACACACACACUAGCGCUCAAAGCUACGGGACCUCUCUCACCCUCGGGUGAAAUAUAUUUAUAGAGAGUGCUGGUCAAGAUCGUUGGCUAUCGCUCAGCGGUGCAUGCACACAUCAACGAUCCAGAUUUAAUUCGUUUUCAAAGUCGGUUUAUCCGCUGACGCGGUUUCCGCGUUCGGCUAAAAUUGUACGCGUAACGCGUCGGCUUUUCUAGAAAAGAAAAUUCCG